rnacentral:sRNA from 1 species
UCCUAUCACGAGGUGGGCCCCCUGAGGCGGU